rnacentral:lncRNA from 1 species
AACCUAUUAACCCUCUCCACCUCCCCCGCCAACCUCCCCACUACCCUUGCCGGCCUCUACUCUCUAAGUCCAUGAGUUCAAUUGUUUUGAUUUUUAGAUCCCACAAAUAAGUGAGAACAUGUGAUGUUUGUCUUUCUGUGCCUGGCUUAUUUCACUUAACAUAAUGACCUCCAGUUCCAUCCAUGUUGUUGCAACAUAGAUCUUACAUUUUUUAGCAUAAUUUUUCUCAAAGAAAAAGAAUGACUUAGUAGAGAUUAUUUAAAUAACAAAUUGGUAAAAUCUAUUAAAAGUGGGACUUUAAGAUUGUAUUAGAAAAAUCCUUUGUUUACAUAAUGCUUAAAAUUCCUGAACAAGUAUAAAAUACAGUCUAUCACCCUGGUCUAGUUCAUAAACAUUUUUGAUAACUUACCAUGUCUGUCUAAUGUUCAGAAUGCUUCAAAUAUUUGUCAUUAUAUUGACAAAAUAUCUGGAUAAUUGACAGAUUUUUUAAUGUUCCACCUGCUUGUCUCAUGUAGACACAGCUCAUAUCUAUUUCCCUCUGCAAAAAUAUAUUCUUGUCCAACUUACCUGUCAGGCUCUUUUAUGAUUAUGAAGAAUACCUUGCAAGAAGCUGAUGGAUUCCCUUUUUAUCCCCUAAAUCAUCUUGAGCUGUCACAUUGGAGCUGACACACUUUCAUUAUCAUAAAUACACACAAUACACCUCUUUACAAUUUAGUAACAAAUGGCUAAAUGUAUUUUUAAAACAUUUUAAUUGUGUAGAAAGCUAUAUCUGGUGCAUGUUUUUCUUUUUCAUGUUGUAAAAUCCAGUGAUUAACUGCCAUCUUUUAAUAUUGGUGCGGUGAUGAUCAUAAUAUCAAAAGCAUUCUGGCAUUAUGAAUUCAUAGUCAAAUGGUGACACCAACCAGAUGAGAUGAUGGUGUACCAGGCUCGAUGACAGUUCUAUCUCAGUUUAUCAUCUUAACUAAAAAAUAAUCCUAUCUAACUUGAAAUCCACAGCAGCUAUAAGUAGAAAAUAAAUCCAAACCACAGCUCAGACUUGUAACCUAACAGCUAUCAUAAAUAAUCAGAGCCUAUUUGAAGGUGGAAGAUGGGACAUUAGAAGCUAUUUACACUACUAGAGUGAUGCCAUCGAUCAGUAGCGGCAACCCGUAGAUAAGGCUCCUAUGAUGUCAUGGUUAUUUAUGAUGGGCAUUGACAGUAAAGCUACUACGGAAUUUUCUCCUCAGACAGCUUCAUUCAUUUUUGUUUGUGAUGCAUUUUGUUAUUAAAGAAGCAAUCAAUAGCAAAAAUCGUGGUGAUAAAAGUAUUACUUGUUAAAUAUGUGAAAAAUGUGCAUGUAUGUAAGAAUGUGGGACAAAAGAUGAAGAAUUUAAAAAUUCACUGGCAGUGUUUACGUGUUCCAGCUACAAAUACAUAAUAGAUUCAUUUCACAUGUCUUGGGCUUUCAAAUGUGGCCCACUUGUUCUUCCUCUUACAUCCUAUUCUCUUGUUAGAAAGCAGAGUUAAAAUGUUGUGGUGCCCUCCCACUUCCCCCCACAUCAUAUAUUUGACUCACUUUAGACAAUAUAAAAUUUAAUUAGAGAAAUCACAUGUGAUAAAGACAAACACCCAUUACUUUGUACAUAACCCAUCUAUAUGAGAGCAAAUUUGGUGAUUUCAGUUUAGUUUUUUUUUAAAUGUCAUUUUUUACUUGUUUUGUUUCCCCCCAUCCUGUAGCUCAUCUUCUAUUACUGAAAAUAUUCACUAGACCAGUGCUUCUCAUACCUUAAUAUACACACACAUCAGCUGGGAAUCUUGUUAAAAUGCAGUUUCUGUCGCAGUAGUUCCGGGAAGGGCCUGAAAUCCAACAUUUCUGAUAAGCACCCAGGUGACUCAAUGACAGUCCAGGGAUGCUGGUCCAGGGAUCACACUUUUAGCAGCAAGACACUAGGUAAGGUGGUUAUUUCCAUACAUUGCAGUCUUCCCUUCAAAUCAUUUGCCUGUAUUUAAAAUGGAUGUUUUUCUCAUUGGUGUAGAGCAGUGGUUCUCAAACUUUAGCUGUAGAGAGCCAUUUGGAGUGGUUGUUUAAACAGAUGUCUGUGCCCCAUCCCCGAGUUUCUGAUUCAAUAAGUCUGGGGUGAGCCCAAGAAUUUGCACUUCUAAAAAGUUCCCAAAUGACCACAUUUUUGAAAACCCCUGGUGUGGAGUCCUAAUUUAACAUUCACAUGACACUUGAAGCCCUUAUGUAAUGCUGGCAAGGUGCUUCUAUGCUUCCCAACACACACACACACACACACACACACACACACCCCUAACAUAAAUACAUUUCCUAAAUACCUAUAAUUCAGAAAAAAGUGUUAUCUAUAGAAAGGUUUCUUUGGCCUAAAUUACUCCAGUUUUCUGAUAGCCCCAGUUCACACCAUUUCAAUUCAGUGGGUUUCUGUGAGGUGCCUACCAUUCCAGAUAUUUGGGGCACAGUGGGGACCAAGACACAGCCCCAGCUCUCCAGAGUUGACAGUCUAGGGCAGGGAGACCUACAAGCAAACAGGCAGUUACGAUACAGGGUGAUAAUUAUUACACUCUGUAAGGCGGAGGUGCUAUGAGACCUAGCUCAGUUUAUUAGGCAUCCGGGGAAACUUCUUGGAGAAGUGAAAUCUCAGCUGGUGCCUGAAGAAUGAGUAGAAGUUCAAGGGAGGGGAGCACUUAUGAAUUCUCUUGUAUUCUUGAUAAAGGGAAUAGGCUUUUGAAAACCUAUUUUUCUUUGGUAAACAGUAUUGAAAAUUAGUCACAAAGGACAGAUAGGCUAUCACUCAGGGUUGGUUGCUGAUAUCAUCUUUAUUUUCCUGUAAUGGCUGAGUAUAGAUUAUAUUAAACAUUAGUCACCAUGUGAAAAAUACACUUUGACACACAGACACAUCUUUUCACAUCUAUUUGUGUAGAAGGCUGGAGGUCAAGCAGGGGGCAAUGUCAUGUUUUAACAAUGCCCUUUUAUAAGGAUUCAGUUCCAGGAACACUUCUUGGGCAUCUUCUGAGUACACAGUAUUUGGCUCGGGCUUCAGAGUUUUGAGGGCUUCUAGAAGACAGGGACUUUGUCCAUGAAGCAUGUGUACAUUCCUGGUUUCAAGGCAAGGCAUACACAGUCCAGUGGUUGGAAUCACCUGAGGAGUUUUAAAACUUCUGAUCCCCAAGGCCCAUCCUGAACAAUCAAAUUAAAAUCUAUGAGAACAGGAUCCAUUUAUCAGAACUUUAUAAAGCUUUCCUGGUGAUUCUAACUUUGAGAACCAUGUUUAUAGAUGGAAUGAGCUAAUAAUGUCCGGUGCUUCACCGUAUUUUGCAUAUGUGUUAAUUUGAACCCAAUUAGCACAUCAACAAAGAUAAAAUUAUUAACUGCAUUGCCUCUUUCUGUACAAUUUCCUUUUGAGCAGCAGAAUUGAUUCCAGAACAAUGAUAUUGGUGUUUAAAGGAGGAAAAUACAAAUGAGUAGCUAAAAAUAGUUAUGCAAAUUGACUGGAUAUAUUAGGGUUAAUAAAACCAAUAACUAACUCUUUACAGAUUUAAUCCUAUGAGAAAGCAGAAGAGAGCCAGCAAAAUUUGCACAUUCCAUUCUAGAAAGUUUUUUAUUUAUUUUUUUUUAAGAAAGUGUUAUUAAAAGAAAGAAAACACUCAGAAGGAAGGUCUAGAGAGAUGCCUCAAAAAGAGUAAACAGAAUUGCUACCGUCUGGGUUUGCUCUUAUGCUUUAAAGACAAAGAAAGAAGGAAGGAAGGGAGGGAGGGAGGGAGGAAGGAAGGAAGGAAGGAGAGAAGGAAGGAAGGAAAGAAGGAAGGAAGGCGGGGAGGGUAGUGGUGUUGGUGUUUAGUUUUGGGAUCCAGCCUUGAAAAUAAGAAGAGAUCAAAUUGGGGAGGGAUGUCAACCAAGCAACUGGCCAAACGAAAAUUCCCCCAUCUCCCUAAUGUUUAUUGUGGGAUAAGAGUCUGUAGAAACACCUCAAUAAUCCUUUUUUUUUUUUUUUUUUAAAUAAAAAAGAAACAUUUUCCACAGCCAUCUGGUUUCUAUGUAAAUGUAUGCAGUGACUCUGGAGCCAUCCAAAUCCCAGUACGCAUCUCACUUGCUCACUGACUCUUUUUUGGAGAAUCAGAAGAAGAAUCAAAAGCCUCUUUGAGGAUUACAGAAAAGGAAUUCCACAUGUGUUAGUGUGUGCAUGUAUAGGCAAUUUAUUUUAGAGAAAAGCUCCACUAAAAUCAAAUGAAUAUAAUCUAAACAUGCUUUUAAAAGAUUAAAAUAAAAAGAGAGAUGUAUCUGGAAAGCCCUUUGAAUUUUUAUAGUAGGGUCAAUUUAUGUGGUUCAUCCUAUGUAUUUUGAGAUCAAUCUUCAGUGGGACUUACAAUAAAUGAUGUGUUUAAGAUUUCUAUAGUCUUCCAGUGUGUUAUGACACUUAUGAAACUAUAAGAAACACUCACAGUAAGCUAUUCCUGCCUUCUAUUAUCAUUCUACUGUAAGUUAUUUCUGUAGAUAUAUUGUUUUCAAGUUUUUAUUAUAUAAAUCCUCUUUAUUGCUUUUUCAUGGGGAUGAUAAUUAACACUUUUAUGGCUGUUGUGUAUUACAAGUAUCUUUAUAUAUAACAUUAGAGUUCAUAUUCAAAACCACUGUAUUAGGUAGGUAUGGUUCCCAGUCUUUAGGUGAGAAAAAACUAGGUUCAGAGAGUCAAAACCCAGACAAUCAUUAAUUCCUAAUCACCCUUAAAAAUUCCACCUGUAGGCUGGGUGUGGUGGCUUAUGCCUGAAAUCCCAGCACUUAGGGAGGCCAAGUUUUGAAGGUAACAAUGUCCCAAGCAUUUUGAGACUUCUUCUUUGGUUAAUGGACAAAACAGCUUCCGAAAUAGAAGCAUUAUAGGAAAAUUCUAAUCUUGAUCUAACUCAGCAAUUGAAUAUAGCUUAAAGCUUAUAGCAUAAUUUCUGGGCCACCUGAUAGACUGACUUCAAUUAUUUUUUGAAUCAUUAGAAUGUAGCAUUGUAAUUAAUUUUUUUUCACAAAUCAAGUGUAAUAAGAUGAAUCUCUAAUUUUAAAAAAAGUUAAUGUUUCCCAAGGCUAAAAAAGAGAAAUGUGUUUGUUUUCAAAGAUAAUCUAUGUGCAUAUUCAUCAGUAUGUUUCUAUAUUGAUGUUAAAUAACAUUUCUUUACUUCGGAAUGGGUAGCAUCACCAGAGAGGAUUCUGUGUAAAACUCAGGAUACUAGAAUGUUUUAAAACACUCACAUGGUGCAGAAUAAUUUAGUUCAGUUAUAUGAUGACAAGACUAAACAAACUUUCUCUGGAGUUCUGGGUUUUUCAUUUCGUUACUUUGCACUGAGCAAGCAAAUAGAGAUGAGCUAUGAAAUUUUAGGACUUUGCCUUGAAACACGAUCUAGUUGACUUAUAAAAUCUGAGAUGUUGACAAAAUGUGCAGUCAAUAUCCAAAUAAAUGCAGUUACUUCAUUUUAUGUCAACGGAGAAGGUGAAAAGUGCAACUUAACUGGCUUGUGUUGGGAUUACAGGCGUGAGCCACCGUGCCCAGCCAGCUAAUUUUUAAUUUUUAUUUUUUAACUUCUGUAAGAAAAUAUCAUCCAUUUGGCUAAAAGAUACAUAAUUUUCAUUAUGUUCCCAAAUCAACCUAUACUACCAUAUGUACAUUACCAUAAAUUCAUGGUAAUAUACAUGACCAUAAAUGCAAACAACUAAAUAAUUUUUGUUUUGCAAGCCCUGUUGACACACACCAUUGGUGUGGCCCUUAUUGUGCCAUGUUAUCUCUGCCCUAGGCUGGCUUCUAAGCCUUUUAUGGCUCAUCUUUUUCAUAUUGCUAUGUCUAGUGCCUAGCCCAGUGGCAGGCACACAGGGUUGUUGAAUUUAGUGCUACACAUUAUGGAAGCUGAAAUGUUUGUUUUGACCCUUUGGUUUGUAUUUCUUCUUCGUAGAAAUCAACGCAACUUCAUGGAUCUUUAUCUUUUAAUAGUUUACAUGAAGUAUCUCACAUCUGGCAACUAUCACCCCCGACCCAAUCAUAAAUAACAUUCAAAGUUAUUUAACUUCCUUUAUUAAAGGGGAGCUGAAAGGAGCAGCAGACUUUGUUGGCCAACUUCUAGAAAGGAAAUAAAGGCCAUUCAGACGUCAGAAGAUUGUAUAUGUUAGUUGAUACAGUGCAUUCAGUGUUCUUAAAGGAUCAAACACCAAGUUAGUAUUGAACUCAAUUUUCCAUCUUCUUCAACAGUGUCUAAGUUAAGAAUCAAAGUUUGUUGGUGUUAAGAUGCUUUAAAGUAGAAUGUCUUGGGGCUUCACAUACCCUUCAGACACAUUUAUCCUAAGCUAAAUUUACCCUUUAUGAAGGGGACAACUUGAACUAUUUAAUGCACCUUAAAAAGUGGUGGUGAGAGGUAGAUACUUUUCAGUUGUUAUGUCAUGGCCUUUAUUCAGUAUUUCUGAAUCCUCUUACAGAUAGAAACACUUGCAAACAUUCAUCGGGAAUUUGGCUAGCAGAAUAGUAACCCACCAGCCAAAGCCCACCUCAUCCAGUUUCCAGUGGUUGGUUGCUAGAAAGAUAUUCCAGUGACUGUCCGAAAGCAAAAACAAGCGGACCCGUAGCUGUGCUCCUGUUCUGUGAAUGGUGUGCUCCGCAGUGUCCACCUCGGGGUGCUUCUGUGCACCUCUGGGCCCAAAGCUCAGUGAAAACUUUUCACUAUUCAUAAGGGGGUUCUCAAACCCAUGGUAGGUUAGACUUCAAGAUCUGGUUUUGAUCAUCCUAGAUUUAGUACUCUGCUGCCUGGAAAAUAUGAGCUGUGAGUAGUGUGAAGAGCUGUUACUGUAGGACCCACAGUUUGCAAGGUAACUUCAAUCUGUACCAGGUGUGAUUUGAUUUUGCUGAGAUGAGGGAGUUGGCAGAGAAGGGAGGGGGGUGGUAGGGAAGAGGCUGUGGAAAUACCCUCAGUAAAAAGUACCCAGAGUUGAAUCUUCUAGCUGUCAGAACAAGUUCUUCCUGGCAAACUGCGUUAACGGCAUUAGCCCCAGCCCACUGUCCUCAGUCUCUUCCUGCACUUGUAGGAGGAAAGUUGGUUCUAAGUUUCUGUUAUGCUCAGUAAUGAGACAGAAUAAGGUGACACGGAAGACAGUGAACCAGAGGAGGGAGAAUCCGAGGAUCUGCACCGAGUCCCUUUCUUCUAGUCAUUAGCUGGGACUUUGGCACGUUGCCGAAAUUCUCAGAAGGUCAGUUUGUUCCUUUGUCAAAUAAUAAUUAAAUCUUCCCUCUACCCAGAGAGUUUCCUAAAUGAACUUUUGAAAGAUAUUGUCUAUAAAAAUAUUUCAAGACCUGUAAAAAAUGUUUUUGACAAGACAGAUGUGAAAGUAUGCAGCAGAGCAUGUGUGUUUGAAAUCCUCCAGCCAUGAAGAUGAUUUUCUUAAAGGAGAAGUGUGUAUCUCCCGUUCUCAUACUCUGACUAUCCCUAUACUUCUGACAACUUCUAGGCGUUGGUUUCUGUGAACACACCUUGGUCACUACACGAGAGUGUGCUUGGUUUCCUCAUCAGUAAACUGGGGACAAUAAUACCCACCUCCCAGGGUUAUCGUGAGGAUGAAACAAAGCAACCUGUGUGAGCACAGAGCACUAUAGGAGUUCGCUGAAUGUUAGUUCCUCACUCUUUCCUCUCCACCCCCAUGCCCCUACUCUGGUGAAAUAAAAUCCUUCUUGUAUAACUCAGGAAGCCCCAGGAACACAUUCCUGCAAGCCAUGGAGGAAAGAAAUACUUCCCUGUGUCCUUUUGGAGAGAGCUGGGCUUCGGCUGGGCUGAUGUCAUAGCUAUGCUCCUGGCUGCCUUUUAGUCAGAAGAGAUGUUAGUGUGCUGAAAAAUAGCCAAGGAGGCUUUUUUCCUCUGCAUGGGAAAGAAGACAUUUUUGUCCAUCCUCCAAGUCUUCCUUGCACAGAUUACUGUCAAACCCAAGCACUUUAUUUAUAAAAAUGCCAACAUACUCUGAUUAUUUGGCGAAUAACCAUGCUGCUGUCAGUGUACAAACAGCACAUAGAGUAUAAAAACAAUCUCCAUUUUUAUCAUGGCUGUCACAGCUGGGAGGCUGUGGAACAAGGAUGCAUUGUUUGAGGGAAGGGCUGUAGAGGCAACAUUCAGGUCCUUUGGUGGCCUCCUGGGCAGAAAGACUGUGGUCACAUUUGGUAAACUGUUACAUGUUCUUUUACUGAAAAACAUUAGGCUUGCCAUAAAUUAGUUUCUGGGUUCAAUAUUGAGAUCUUGACAUACUGUUGCUUUUAGAUAAGCAUUCCCUGGCCUGCCUGUCUGUCUGCCUCUCUCUUCUCUAAUUCAUAGGCCGUCCAAAUGCCUACGUGCUUCCAUGGAACAGGAAGACAGACCCAGUGGCUGUGCAACCAAAGGAAAUCCAUCAUUCACUGAUGAAUUUCUAAUGACUUCAUAUUUUACUACCACAUGGAACUCCCAAAUAAAGCCUCUAGAAGGGAAACACACACCCAAUACUGGGGGAAGGAGGGGUAAAGAAGUGAUGGCCCUUUACUCAGCACUGGUUUCUGACCUCCUCAAGCUGGUUCCUUCUGGGUCAAGGUAGAUCCUAGGGAGGAUAACUCUCCUGGUUUCAGUAACAGUUGUGAAGCAUAUGUGUGAGUGCAUAUGAUGACUCUGCAUGUCUAAGGUCUAACAGAUUGGUCCCAGGAUAUUACAUGUUUUCCCUGGAAAACCAUUUCUUUUUUUCCUAAAAUGUGUUUCAUCAUUGUAUGAGCUGUUGCUGCUGCU